AAAAUUAAAAUCAACUUGUGUACUUUCUUGAAUUUUAAUUUUCCAAUGAAUCAUAAGUUUAUUGUCUACAGUAUGUCAAAUGGACCACACAAGCAUGAAAGGCCACGUCAUAUUAGCUUUAACAGCCCAGGCUCUGGUCACAGUAUCCAGGGAAUAAUCUCUGCUCUUCUACUCAAUAGUGUGUCACUUUGGGCUAGUGACCUCAUUAUUUCAGGCCUCUAAUUCUUCACCCGUGAAAUUAUUAUAAUAACAAUAACAGCACUAAUCAAACAUGACUAUUGCUAAAUAUUAUUAUGCUAAAUACCUAAGGUUCAAAAUAACAUAAAAAUUAAAUAGGAACUAAAAAAGUUAAUGUAGUCAAAGAUCCCAAUUAUUCUCCCAACAGUUGCUCUUCCAGUGACAAGAGUAAGCUAAAUAAUAAUUUUAAAAUGCUGAAAAUAUAUGGCACAGAGUACAUGCAAGUUUUAUACUUUGGUUUUUACUUUAGCAAUUAUUCUUGUCGUAUUUUAUCCUCAGAAUUAUAAUUUACUAGAGUGCUUUCUGCAGCUUUUUUCUUCCCAAUGCCCCAGGGAGCUUUCUUUUAGCAUAAAUUGUCUUCCGAAAUAAAUAAGUCUAUUGUCUGCACAGCUUUCACCAUCAAGGAAUUCAAAUAAACACACAUUUAUUAUUUAUACACCUUGGCCUGAAUGGGAUUUACCUGACUCACCAAGUGAAAAGCAUUUUUAAAUAUACAUAUGUGGGGAUUCUUUUUAUGUACAUAUCAUUUGUCCAAAAUUGAUCCUCACAAAGGGUUCUUGUACAAAGGCACAUUCAGUAGUAGGUGGUAGAGAAGCAACGGCUGGAACCUACAGAGAACUCAGCCUCCCGCCACCCUCACUUACAAACCGUGCUCUCCCGCUGAGUGGGCAAGAAUUCUCCCAGGUUACAGUUUCCACAUCCAAAACGGUCAGCUCUGGAGCGGAAUCGUGUCAGAGCUGCACACCCAUCCUAACACCAUCUAGAUUCAUGAUGGCUAAGUGCCCAGAAGCAUCAAUGGGACCACAGAUACCACUUUAAAAAUCAGGUCAGGAUUUUGAAAGCAGAGAGGCAGAUUGUGCCCAGCAGAAAUACUUUAUGUUUGAAUUUUGAGGUUGAGAGUUUACUGCAGGGUAUGCCUCACAAUCGAGGACAAUCACAUCAUGUAUUCCACGUAACAUCAAGGAUGGUCUGACUUUUCAAACUUGGAAGAAAUAUUGUCUAAAUCAGUGACGAGGACGUCAACACGAUGAAAGGGUUAUUGCAAGAGAAAAAAUACCAUCAGCUUGACGGAAUGAAACCUACAGGAAGAUCUGAUCAUAGCUCACUCUCCUGAAUUUAUAAUUGAAACCAAUUUAUGAACUAAGGUGUUCACAAACAUUUAUUUUGUGGGACUAGAACAAUCUGGGGACACGAUUACCUAAAUAUGCUGCUCAAGCAUCUUUUUCAAAUACAGCUGAAUGUAAAAGGGUUCUGUUUGAAUUGGGUAGAGGGAACGGUCGUGGGAUAUGAAAGUGCUUAUAGGACAGUGCUGGAGCCUCUGGUGAGACAGAAAGAGGGCAGUGGGUCCUGGGCAGAGCCUGGCAUCAGAGAUCUAGACUUCGUAGGAGAAGGUCCUGUGGGCAUAAUGAUUCUCCCCAAUCUCAGAAGCUGAGCAGAAACCAAGAGGUAGGUUCAGCAUGCUUUGCUUUGAGGCUGGAAGAAGUCAUGGAAAUCAGGGCUCAACAGCCCACAGGGACAGAAUCCCUCCAAAUCCAACUCACUAUUUAAGAGGUUCUGUCAUUAUCUGAUUUUGACAAUCAUCUCUAAGCUGACAAAUAAAAAUAAUGUAUAAUACUCUAAGCUUAGACAGGAAGAGCAGACAGAACAUCUGAACACAUGCCAUCUCAACACAAGUCAGCCAAAUUGCAGGAAGGGAAAGAUGAACACUUGAAGAGAUACAUUUCAGUAAAAUGCAGGUACAAACAUUUUAUGGAUUUAAAAGACUUGAUUUCCAAGGUAAAAACAAAUACAAAAUAAAAACAAGAGGCUUAAUUCUUGAGGAGAUAAAAUGCAGGUACAAACAUUUUAUGGAUUUAAAAGACUUGAUUUCCAAGGCAAAAACAAAUACAAAAUAAAAACAAGAGGCUUAAUUCUUGAGGAGAUAAAAUGCAGGUACAAACAUUUUAUGGAUUUAAAAGACUUGAUUUCCAAGGCAAAAACAAAUACAAAAUAAAAACAAGAGGCUUAAUUCUUGAGGAGAUAAAAUGCAGGUACAAACAUUUUAUGGAUUUAAAAGACUUGAUUUCCAAGGCAAAAACAAAUACAAAAUAAAAACAAGAGGCUUAAUUCUUCCUGUUGAAAAUAAAGGUAGAGAUUUCCCCCAGUCCUUAUCUCAGAGUAUUUACUUUAGAAAAAUCUGUGCUUGUCAGCACUUUCUCCUCCCUUUGAAAUGUAUGCAAAUCUUUUGGAAGAUACAAGAGAGUCCUUUCAUCAACUUGAUGACCCAGGAGCACCUUUUUUUUUUUUUUUUUUUUUUUUUGGUCUUUUUAGGGCC
rnacentral:lncRNA from 1 species